AUUGAACGCUGGCGGCAUGCCUUACACAUGCAAGUCGAACGGCAGCACGGGAGCAAUCCUGGUGGCGAGUGGCGAACGGGUGAGUAAUAUAUUGGAACGUGCCCAGUCGUGGGGGAUAACGCAGCGAAAGCUGUGCUAAUACCGCAUACGAUCUAUGGAUGAAAGCGGGGGAUCGCAAGACCUCGCGCGAUUGGAGCGGCCGAUAUCAGAUUAGCUAGUUGGUGGGGUAAAGGCCCACCAAGGCGACGAUCUGUAGCUGGUCUGAGAGGACGACCAGCCUCACUGGAACUGAGACACGGUCCAGACUCCUACGGGAGGCAGCAGUGGGGAAUUUUGGACAAUGGGCGCAAGCCUGAGCCAGCAAUGCCGCGUGCAGGAUGAAGGCCUUCGGGUUGUAAACUGCUUUUGUACGGAACGAAACGGUCCUUUCUAAUACAGAGGGCUAAUGACGGUACCGUAAGAAUAAGCACCGGCUAACUACGUGCCAGCAGCCGCGGUAA
rnacentral:rRNA from 1 species